rnacentral:misc_RNA from 1 species
CUCUAUAUACCUAUCUACUGUCUAUCUAUUUAUAUAUAUGUUAAGUCUCCCGUUCCUCAAACACAACCCAAUUCAUACCUCUCUUUCUUGUUCUUGUACGAUAUUGGUCAACAAACACACCUCAUCUCCUUCUUCUUCUUUUAAACCAACCGCAUCAGCUACGAGAAGAGAACAGAAAAGAAAAAUAUGGACGGAAGCUGCACAGAUGAGAGUACUGCUACUAGUGACUCCAUAUCCAUUUCCCCCACGUCCGCCGUCUCUCCCUUUCCUCCGCCAACUAAAUUUCCCGAGUCUCCUCUUUGCCGUGUUGGCAGCGGCUCUAGCGUUAUUCUCGACUCUGAAUCCGGCGUCGAAGCUGAGUCCCGUAAACUCCCCUCCUCUAAAUAUAAAGGCGUUGUCCCUCAACCCAACGGCCGCUGGGGUGCCCAGAUUUACGAGAAGCAUCAGCGUGU